GCCUGAAGGAGCACUUUGCCGGUUGUACCGUGGAGAGUUUUGGGCCUGUCCAUGGGAAAGGAUACACAGAAGUCUUCUCCAUCUGCAAGUUCACCCUGGAUCCCCUCUCAGGGUCUUUACAAAAGCAAGAGGUGUUUGAGGAGCUGAAACAACUGACCCAGGGGUUCACCAAGCUGGGCCCCAGCUACGAGCUGGAGGAGCAGAGUCUGGUUGUUGAAGGUUAUUCUCCACUCAAGACAAAUGAACCAGAGUCUGAAAGAUCUGAGCUUCAGUUCUGGGCCAUCAUCCUCAUCUGCGUUUUCACCCUGCUUGGCUUCAUCCUCCUCCUCUUCUUAUGCUUCCUGGU